rnacentral:rRNA from 1 species
AUUGAACGCUGGCGGCAGGCCUAACACAUGCAAGUCGAGCGAGCGGCGGACGGGUGAGUAAUGUCUGGGAAACUGCCUGAUGGAGGGGGGUAACUACUGGAAACGGUAGCUAAUACCGCAUACCAUCAGAUGUGCCCAGAUGGGAUUGGCUAGUAGGUGGGGUAACGGCUCACCUAGGCGACGAUCCCUAGCUGGUCUGAGAGGAUGACCAGCAACACUGGAAGUGAGAAACGGGCCAGAUCCCUACGGGAGGAAGCAGUGGGGAAUAUUGCACAAGGGGGGAAAGCCGGAUGCAGCAAUGCGGCGUGUGUGAAGAAGGCCUUCGGGUUGUAAAGCACUUUCAGCGGGGAGGCGUUACCCGCAGAAGAAGAACCGGCUAACUCCGUGCCAGCAGCCGCGUAAUUC